GUAGACCUUUCUCUGCCAUACUCUGUGAUCCAAGGAGAGAUUUUCAGCCUGAAAGCCAUCGUCUUCAACUACCUCAAGGACUGUAUCCAAGUGCACACCACCCUCAUAGAGACUCCAGAACUAAAGGUGGAUGCCUGUCCAGGCUGCCAGUUCACCAGCUGCCUCUGUGCCAACGAAGCAAAAAUCUUUGCGUGGAAUGUGACAGCCACUAGACUGGGCAAAGUGAAUGUCACUGU